ACACGUUAUGUUUUAAGUUAUAUCUGUUCUUAUCAGUUUAAUAGCUGAUAUGUCCUUUAUUUGAGGACUGUAUAUUAAAUUUAUUUUUGAAACAGGGGGAUGGAAUAGGUGCUGACCGGUACCGCUGCCAGCCCCAAAGCAGCUGUGGAAGAGAGAGCUGGUCUUUUU
rfam:Chelonia mydas contig240916, whole genome shotgun sequence.